rnacentral:lncRNA from 10 species
CUCGGCACGACCCAGGUUCCAUGCUACAGGCCUCUACUUGUCCAGACCUGAGGGUCAGAUUCAGAUGGUGCAAAUGUUUAAGACCUGGGUCUUCAACGAGAUGAAUUAUCAGCUAUUUCAUAGCUGCAGUGUUGGAUAUGCCGAGACGAUAAAAGCAACAGCAAUCAGAAUCAACAGUUGAAACGACAUGGCAGACGCUGUGAAUGCUAUGAACUGCUGUGCUGAGCAGCAGGAUUCCUGUGUCCUGGCGCAAUGCCCAUGGGGAUUCAUGCUUUCAGAGGGUCACGCCUCAGGAACACGUAGAAGGGCAAGCAUUUCAUCUGGCAGGGCACUGAUUUAAUCUGCACGCAUGUUUGGCUGUAAAACUAGCUCCUCCCCCUUACCAUUUUUGAGUCGCUGCCGGACUCAAAUUCCACAGAUUCUGGAAGGUGUCCAGGAACUCGUUGAUUUGUCAAACUUAUGGCUACACACAGCUGGAAUGGAGACGGACUCCACUGAGGAGACUCAUACAGGACAGGAGGGAAUUUUAAGAGGAUAACCCUGAGAUUGAAAACAUCAAACCAAACCUGAAGCACUGAGAGGUUGGGUAACCAGCUCUGGUCACUGAGUUGGUGAGGGAUGGAUUCAGAAGAGGUCUCCAAUUGUGACACCGCAGAGGACCUGCUCUUGGCCACUACACUCUACCAGCUCUGCAAGAAGCGCUUCCACACUUUUCAUCUCAGACCCACAGAGCCAGUGUGUGCGGCUGAGGUGCUCAGACUGGCAGGUGAAAUGACUUCAUUAGUGCCCUGGCUCCUGGUGGGAUGAGAGUGGAAACCCAGCCUUCUGAGUUGAAGAACUGGAACAAACAUCAGCCCUGACACAUUGAUGUCAGUUUACCUUUGUGAGAAACAGGAACGAAAUGUGAACAUCUAUUUCAGGUGAUGUCAUAAAGCCCGACUCAGAAGAUGGCUAUGAUUUCAACAGCCUGUCGGCAGCACGGAUUUCAGAGUAACUUACAAUCAGUAAUUAAUCUAAACAACAGUGCCGUGUGCACUCCAUUAUUAAAACAGAAGGGGAAACAA